rfam:Asian citrus Psyllid, Diaphorina citri - Florida Strain, whole genome shotgun sequence.
GCCUAGUUAGCUUAGUUGGUAGUGCGUCUGCCUUGUUAGCGCUAGGCCGCGGGUUCGAUUCCCGCCCGGGGCG